CACAAUAUCUGUGGUUACAAUUAGCCCCAACCUGGAGCUUGUCAGGGCUGGGGCAGGCCCUUAAAAAGAAGGAAUUCAGCUGAGUUGGGAUAUCACCCUGAAACAAGAAGAGCUAAAGCUCACAGACCAGCCAGAGGGGUUUCUCAACAAUGAGUAGCUUGAGAGUACAGCCAGCCUGCACCCUCAGGCUGGCAAGAAGAUGAGCUGAAUUUUGUUUUGUUGUUAACUCCAGGACUAACUCUUGGCCUUUAGCCACACGGUGUGUGGAAGCUAAGACUUCUUGUAAAGCCAAAAAGGCUGCUUCCCCUCAUUUGUAUGAGGAAGGGGUCCUGGCACCGUGAGGGACUAUUGGAACUAUUUUCAUUUUUGUUUGAGUUGUUUUACAACCCAUGGAAGGGGACAGACUUGCUAAGAGGUACAGCCAGAGGGCGAUACUCCAGGAGCAGACUACAAGAGUGCCACCGCCUGGGGAAAUACAUGCAAGUUUUUCAUUUUGAGACCAAGUCCAGGCCAUCCACACUGUGUGAUGAGUAGAGGCUGACAAGAUGGAUAUUUGUACAAAGGAGAAGCACAGAGUGGAACAACACACAGCAGGGUCCAAACAAUUUAGCUGUGAUUUGGUCUGGAUCCUUGGCUGCAUCCAAGAAGCAUACACCACAGUUCAAGAGAGCCCAUAUCUGUGGGGCGCAGAGGUGUCUUAAUGCCAACCAUGCUGUGGCCAGUCCUCUAGAAUAAGCAUAGGUUGCCAAUGACCCCAAGAAGUUGAUAAAGCAGCAAGGAGUAGAGAUUUCCCAGCCACAUCUGUGUUCCCUGGCCAUGUGCCCUAUCCAGGAUAUUGGAAGGGUGAGUGAUAUAACACCACCAGAGGAUCUUCCUAUGGUGGGAUGAACCUCCCUUGUGCUGGCUUAGGGUUACAGCACUGCCCAGGAUCUCAGUUGUGAAAGUUAUUGCAGCUGCUGUUGAAUAGCACUUGACCCUUUGCUUCCACUUACAUUUCCACAUAGAGAAGCAUGAAAAUUCUGUGUCUCGUUUUUUCAUCCCCUCACACGAGUGGUUUUCCCAACACAAAGAGGGAAACACUUUGUGAUGAUGUUCUGGUUUUGGAAUCUUCCAAUAUGAUCCACAAAAAAGACAAGCAGAGUGGAAUGAUUCUGCCACUGUAUUAAGCAAGCAGUGAUCGGCCCUUGGGAAGCUCUCAGUGUAUAUUCUCUUAAAUGCCAAAGUGCACAGAAGAUUACAGGCCAAAAACUGAUGUAAAGGUUCAAGCAUUUCUCCCUGGGACUGAAAUAUCUUUUAUCCUAGAAUUUUUCUUCACUUAAAGUUGCCCAAAUUACUUUUGGGAAUUCACUAAAACUGAAGGUUUCUCUCCUCCUUUGUAGCUUAAGCUAGCACUCGACUGAUUUUUUUUUUUUUUUUUUUUCCCUGACAGUUCACUAAUAUUUCUCUGGAUUUAUUGAAAUGAACGUGAUUCUCAGUCAUUUGACAGCAGUUGGCUUAAUUUCUGUGGAUAAAAUCACUAUAGUGGGCUAUAAAUAUAUAGUGUGUCCAGAAGCACAGUUUGUAUUUUUAGAUUUUUAUUUUAAAGGCCAAAGAUAAGGUACAAACUCCAGAAAGAAAGUACCUUUAGGUGUCACAUGUUUGUUAUGCUGAAAACAAAACACAAAGGUGUCGGUCUCUGAAUUAAGCAGGAAUUGUAUGAGGACUUCAAGGAUCACACUACAUAGAAUGUUAACUUGUGGAUUAAACAUGCAGACCAUUUACUAAGGACCCCAGACAGUUAAUGAAUAAUGUUUUGCCCUAUUCACCUGCACUAUCAGGUUUCAACAGAGAAAAUAAAACUCUCUCCUGCUUCUUGUAUUACUUGAUUCAUAAAGUUUAAAAAAAAAAAAAGUAAAAUUUAGACAGAUUUUAAAUGAAGUUUAUAUAGCAUGACUUCUGGCCAAGUCGCUCAGGCUAAAAAUUCGGAUUCAGAGAGCUCCCUCCUAAUGUCUGGAAAUCAGGCACACUGUGCUAUCAUCUUGUCAGUUCUUACAAACCUGAGUAAGGCUAGGCAAGUGCUUGGCUGGGAGACAAAUAGAGAAUGCAUAGGUGCUACAGGAAACAUUGAUUUGCUAGAUAGAAUUUCCUUCUGAAGUUACUGAACUAAUGAUCUAAUACACUUUGAAUUAGACAUUAAACUGAGUCACUAAGAAUCAGAUGGUAGGGAUGAUGCCAAUUUUCAGCUCAGCAAUUUCCAUUGUGCCUUCUCAAAAUCCCUCCCAGAGUUACACAUGGAUUCAGUAUUCUUUGCUUGCUGUCUGGUU